rnacentral:rRNA from 1 species
UACGUAGGGUGCAAGCGUUGUCCGGAAUUAUUGGGCGUAAAGAGCUCGUAGGCGGUUUGUCGCGUCUGCUGUGAAAACCCGAGGCUCAACCUCGGGCCUGCAGUGGGUACGGGCAGACUAGAGUGCUGUAGGGGAGACUGGAAUUCCUGGUGUAGCGGUGAAAUGCGCAGAUAUCAGGAGGAACACCGAUGGCGAAGGCAGGUCUCUGGGCAUUAACUGACGCUGGAGGAGCGAAAAGCAUGGGGAGCGAACAGG